CCGACGCGGAUUACGGUGGC
rnacentral:sRNA from 1 species